ACAGAUAUAAAAUUACUGAGACAUCUAUCAAUAGACAAAUUUAUUAACCCUUAACUCUAGCACAUGGUAACGAUUAAUCAUGAUAGUAGCCUAAACAUAAACUUAGCUAUUGGUCUAUGUUUGAUCAAGUGUCUUGCUUCAACAGUCCAUAUUACAACAUAAGAACUGGGCUAAACUACAACAAUUAGACUAAACUACAUAUGAAUCAAAUAACAUAGAAGGUAACAUCAUGGAAGAACUAUAGAUAUGUCACAAAUAGAUCUACUACCACUACUUAACACUGCCUUUUAUUCCAUCUUCAAACUGAAAUUACAUCAUAAAGGACUUGGAAUUUGUACCUGGAGAUUAAAGGAAAAAGGUGAAGAAUCAGCACAGCAAUAAAACAAUAGCUCCAGCAACAGGAAAACACCAGUUUUUGGCACUUAAACCCAGGAAAUUAACUCAGGAAAAAACAAUGAAAGAUCAACACUCAACUACCUUGGACCAAAAACAUUAGUAACCCACCAUCACUCUUUUGAAUAUCAUAAUAAGAGUUUGUUUGUUUUCUUUAAAAAUGAAAUGAAUCAUUGAAAUUUCAAUGGAACAGUACAACUACUAUCAAACUUUUUGCUACUUCAAUUUUAUGUAUUUAUUAGCUCUCCAAAAUCUGAAUUCAUCUUAGAAUAGCA
rnacentral:lncRNA from 1 species